GACGAACGCUGGCGGCAGGCUUAACACAUGCAAGUCGAACGAGUGGCGGACGGGAGAGUAAUGCUUGGGAAUCCAGCUUAUGGAGGGGGAUAACUACGGGAAACUGUAGAUAAUACCGCGUACCAAAGGAUGAGCACAAGUGGGAUUAGGUAGUGGGGGAGGUAAAGGCUCACCAAGCCGACGAUAUCUAGCUGGUCUGAGAGGAGGACCAGCCACACUGGGGCUGAGACACGGCCCAGACUCCUACGGGAGUCAGCAGUGGGGAAUAUUGCGCAAUGGGGGCAACCUGACGCAGCCAUGCCGCGUGAAUGAAGAAGGCCUUCGGGUUGUAAAGUUCUUUCGGUAGCGAGGCGUUAACUACAGAAGAAGCACCGGCUAACUCCGUGCCAGCAGCCGCGGUAAUUC
rnacentral:rRNA from 1 species